GAUCCUGGCUCAGGACGAACGCUGGCGGCGCGCCUAACACAUGCAAGUCGAACGAGAAAGAGGGAGUUUGCUCCCUUGAUCGAGUGGCGAACGGGUGAGUAACGCGUGAGGAACCUGCCUCAAAGAGGGGGACAACAGUUGGAAACGGCUGCUAAUACCGCAUAAGCCCACAGCUCGGCAUCGAGCAGAGGGAAAAGGAGUGAUCCGCUUUGAGAUGGCCUCGCGUCCGAUUAGCUGG
rnacentral:rRNA from 1 species